GAAGCACAAAAGUAGCAAAAGGCAGUGGAAACUAGGACAGGUAACCUGGGAAGAAUAUAGAGAUGAAGAUUGGUUGUGUAGGCAUGGGGUCAGGAAGGCCAAGGGGAAGCUGA